UGUGCCAAGGGGCAACUGCAGGCCAGCACCAAGCUGACCUCAGACACCUGGCCUCCCUCCCAAGCUCACCAGCACCCAAAGCCUGGAGGGUGUCAAGGCGGCAGUAGGGGUGGUAUGUCAGCGCAGCCUUGAGUGUGUGCACACCAGGCUGGCUUACGACGGUGCCUGGGCUGGGCCACAACUUUGCUCUAUACUGGAGCAGGCACUGGGAGUGCGGAGAGGCCAGAGACCAGGAGCAGGCACUUAUGAACCUGCAGGGGCAGGGGGUUUCCCAGGACCCCAAGAGCACAAGGAUAUCUGGGUCAGGAGCCACAGCUGGGUGGCUGCCGCUGAACCUGGGAACACUGGGCUCCUGAUUGUUCCCAGCCCCUGCCAGCUCCACAGAUUGCACAUCCCCAGUCAAGCCUCCUCCACUGCAGCUGGCUUCCAUGUAGUAGCUGUUCCAGAUGGGCCACCACUGCCACCAACAAGAUGAACAACAAGAAUAUAGCAAGAAACACAACUUCGGAUAUAGCAAAAAGAAAAAUGGGACUGAAAGAAAUUACCUUUCUACUUGACCCCAAGAUGCACUGUCAUGUCAUUAAUUCUGCAAAUGCAUCAGCCUGGCCUAUGUCUGGAGAACACACAGAGGAUAAUUCUAACAAUGUCAAAUCUAGUGGAAAAAGAGCCUAUUGCGAGCACCCCUAUGAGGAGAGAGGGCCAUCUGAAGACGAAUUGAUAUCUCUCAUCAACAGCCAGUAAAAUUCUGAGGCCUGCCUAUAGCUACAUGACAUCUCAAUGCAAGGUCACUUCAGAAGUCUGUAGGCUUCUAUAACAGCACACAGGAUCAAAGGAAGGACCCUCCACUCAAGAAUAAUCUGUCAUGAUUGCGGCUAAUAUCAACAUUAUCCAAGACCUUAUUUAGGUUCCUUGAAAGCUGGUAUCU